rnacentral:tRNA from 1 species
AGGGGCGUAGCUCAGUGGUAGAGCAGCGGCCUUUUAAGCCGAAGGUCGUGGGUUCGAUCCCC